GAUGAACGCUGGCGGCGUGCCCAAUACAUGCAAGUCGAGCGAACAGACGAGGAGCUUGCUCCUCUGACGUUAGCGGCGGACGGGUGAGUAACACGUGGAUAACCUACCUAUAAGACUGGGAUAACUUCGGGAAACCGGAGCUAAUACCGGAUAAUAUAUUGAACCGCAUGGUUCAAUAGUGAAAGACGGUUUUGCUGUCACUUAUAGAUGGAUCCGCGCCGCAUUAGCUAGUUGGUAAGGUAACGGCUUACCAAGGCAACGAUGCGUAGCCGACCUGAGAGGGUGAUCGGCCACACUGGAACUGAGACACGGUCCAGACUCCUACGGGAGGCAGCAGUAGGGAAUCUUCCGCAAAGGGCGAAAGCCUGACGGAGCAACGCCGCGUGAGUGAUGAAGGUCUUCGGAUCGUAAAACUCUGUUAUUAGGGAAGAACAAAUGUGUAAGUAACUAUGCACGUCUUGACGGUACCUAAUCAGAAAGCCACGGCUAACUACGUG
rnacentral:rRNA from 1 species